CGACCCGGGCUGCCCACUACCCCCGACCCCCACCUUCUUCUCCCGACACCUCCCACCCUCAGCGGCGCCUCACCAUCACCCACCACCGCGGCGCCCCACCUCCACCCCACCCCUGGCGCCCCACCUCCACCCCAACCCCCCAGUGCCCCACCUCCACCCCACCCUCGUCGACCCACAACCACCCCACCCCUCUUCCUCCUGGCCGGCGCCGCCUCCCAUCCUCUUCCUCCCGGUCGGGCCCGCCGCGCCUCCUCUUUCUCACGGCCGAGGCCGCCGCGCUUCCUCUUGCUCCCGGAAUUGCCACCGCCCCUGGAUCCCCUUCCUUCUUCCACCUUUCUUCAAUGCCCAUGGUCAGCCCACUACGCCUCUCCUAGUCGUUGCAUCCCUCACAGAUCCUCCUUGGCGUCGCCCAGAUCCGGUGGAGCACGCGCCCGAUUAGCCAUCGGGCUUUGGUGGCCGGGGGUGACCACUGUCGGAGGAGGAGGUUGGGGGAAGGAGUGGACCAUGGGAUCCGGCGGAUGCGCGUACGAGGGGAGGUGGUGAGCCUGUCGUGGCGCCGGGGAUCGGAGGUUCUGAAGGUGGCCGAAGAUCACUGUCCUCCUCUCUCUUUAGUGGAUCCUGCUAUCCGAUGAGGGCGAGUAGUGGAGCCUGCUACCCGAUGCAGUUCGAUUCGGUCAUCCUCCCUUGCAUGAGCAGCCCAAGGCGUGUUGCUAGAGCAGUACACAGCAGCAGGUGUGCUCGGCCAUCAGCCUCUGGGAUUCAGUUCGCCAGAGCAUCCCUCACAUCUCCCUUCUCACCGGAGAAGUAUGGCAGUGUGCUGGCUUGCAGUCCGGUGGUGCCGUGUAGUUAGCCGUCCCAAUCCCAUACAAGUACAGUACCGUGUGUGGGCGUGCCAGCAACGCAGCCCACCCCAAAAUGUGAGCGACGACGGCAGCAACGCAUCCCACCCCAAAUGCGAGCGACGGCGAGGAUUUGCCAAUGCAGUGCAUGCAUGCACUUCAGCUUGUCUGUUUUGUUUGAAGAUUUUAUUACUUAUAAUGGCAGCGAUUCAUUUGUAAAAAAGUGGUGGAACUUCGAUGCAGCUCAUUCCAGAAAACUCUGUGGUUCAGUUCAAAAAUUGCGCCUCGGUUUUGUUGUUCUUGCAGUAGGGGGUAACAUCAAAAGGCAAAAAAAAGAAGUGAAAAUACAGAUGCAGUUCUCUGCCUAGGGUAGGUCUCCUCGGUACCAAAUGUAUCUGCAGUACAGAUGUCUUGAAUGAAUUUGUUUGAAGAAGACAAAAAAAGUAGUUGACUCCAAA